GGGCGCCUAGCUCAGUUGGUAGAGCAGCUGACUCUUAAUCAGCGGGUCAGAGGUUCGAAUCCUCUGGUGCCCACCA
rnacentral:tRNA from 1 species